ACCCAGCUCAGUUGGCAGAGCAGAAGACUCGUAAUCUUAGGGUCAAGGGUUUGAGCCCCAUGUUGGGCG